CUUAGGUAGUGAAUAUUCCAUGAGGCCCACUUCAGGCUGAGUGUUUCCCAGUCUGCUCUCUUACAACUGUGCAUAAAUAACCCUGUGAUGUGAAAUAUCACCACUUUAUGAUACAGGAUAAUGCUACAAGAGAUCUUUCACUGAUGUAUCUUUGAGCUUGACAUUAAAUCAUGGAGUCCAGAAGGCAGUGGAUUACCAUAUUCAAGGUGCUGGAAGAAGAUAAUAUCAAC